AGAAGAUGUCAAGGGCGCACGGCGGAUGCCUUGGCACAGGAAGCCGAUGAAGGACGCGGCAAGCCGCGAUAGUCUGCGGGGAGGGGCAAACACCCUUCGAUCCGCAGGUUUCCGAAUGGGGGAACCCAGCAGGGGUCAUGCCCUGCUACCCCGGGCCGAAUCAAAUAGGCUCGGAGGAGGCAACCCGGGGAACUGAAACAUCUAAGUACCCGGAGGAACAGAAAUCAACCGAGAUUGCGCGAGUAGCGGCGAGCGAAAGCGCACCAGCCCAAACCCAUGCACGUGCAAGCUUGAGGGCGUUGCUGCAUGCGGUGUUGUGGGACCGGCCAUCUCCAGGGCCUCAGACCUGGGGCGGAGUUACAAAGCUGCGCGGUAGCGGAACGGCAUGGAAAGGCCGGCCGCAGCGGGUAAGAGCCCCGUACGCGAAACCCCGCAGCCUCCGAGGCCGGCACCCGAGUAGUGCCGGACACGUGAAAUCCGGUACGAAUCCGGGGGGACCACCCUCCAAGGCUGAAUACUCUCCUGUGACCGAUAGCGAACCAGUACCGUGAGGGAAAGGUGAAAAGCACCCCGAGAGGGGAGUGAAACAGUACCUGAAACCGUGCGCCUACAAGCAGUCGGAGCACUCUUGCAGUGUGACGGCGUGCCUUUUGUAGAAUGAGCCAGCGAGUUGCGGUAAGCGGCGAGGUUAAGGUUGGAACCGAGCCGCAGUGAAAGCGAGCCUUUAAGAUGGCGAACAUAGUCGCUUGCCGCAGACGCGAAGCCGGGUGAGCUAUCCAUGGGCAGGCUGAAGCGGGGGUAAGACCCCGUGGAGGGCCGAACCCACUUCGGUUGAAAACGGAGGGGAUGACCCGUGGAUAGGGGUGAAAGGCCAAUCAAACCCGGAGAUAUCUCGUUCUCCCCGAAAUAGCUUUAGGGCUAGCCUCGAUCGUUCAGUGCCGGAGGUAGAGCACUGGAUCUUCUAGGGGGCUUCACCGCCUACCGAAAAGAACCAAACUCCGAAUACCGGCACUUAAGAGAUCGGGAGUCAGAGCAUGUGGGCUAAGCUGUGUGCUCGAGAGGGAAACAGCCCAGACCGCCCGCUAAGGUCCCCAAGUUCAUGCUGAGUGGCAAAGGAUGUGCAUUUGCCUAGACAACCAGGAUGUUGGCUUAGAAGCAGCCAUGCAUUUAAAGAGUGCGUAACAGCUCACUGGUCAAGUGGACAUGCGCCGACAAUUCACGGGGCUAAGCAUGACACCGAAGCGGCGGACUGAUUUAUCAGUGGUAGGGGAGCUUCCCAUGGGGGGCGAAGCCGAGGGGCGACCCUCGGUGGACCGCAUGGGAGUGAGAAUGCUGGCAUGAGUAACGAGAGAGGGGCGAGAAACCCCUCCGCCGUAAGCCUAAGGGUUCCUGGGCAAGGCUAAUCCUCCCAGGGUCAGUCGGGAGCUAAGGCGAGGCCGGAAGGCGUAGCCGAUGCACAACGGGUCGAUAUUCCCGUACCGCUGACGAGCGUUUGACCGACGGGGUGACGGAGAAGGGUAGCCGGGCGGGGUUCUGGACGUCCCCGUGAAAGCGUGUAGGGGGGCUCGCAUGGAAAUCAGCGAGCCACAUGCCCCGAGACGCGAGACGAAGGCAUUAGCCGAAGUCGGCGAGCCCAUGCUUCCGAGAAAAACCUCUAGGGAGCUUUGUCGGCGCCCGUACCAAAACCGACACAGGUAGGCGGGUAGAACAUACCGAGGCGAUCGGGAGAACCAUGGUUAAGGAACUCGGCAUACUGGCUCCGUAACUUCGGGAGAAGGAGCGCCCUUUCCGGUGAAGGCCCUCGCGGCCGGAGCGGGGAGGGGCCGCAGCGAAACGGCCCAAGCGACUGUUUAUCAAAAACACAGGACUCUGCUAAGCCGCAAGGCGACGUAUAGGGUCUGACGCCUGCCCGGUGCUGGAAGGUUACGCGGAUGGGUUAGCGCAAGCGAAGCUCUGAAGCCAAGCCCCAGUAAACGGCGGCCGUAACUAUAACGGUCCUAAGGUAGCGAAAUUCCUUGUCGGGUAAGUUCCGACCUGCACGAAUGGCGUAACGAUUUGGGCGCUGUCUCAACCAUGGACCCGGUGAAAUUGUAUUAUUCGUGAAGAUGCGAAUUACCUGCGGAAGGACGGAAAGACCCCGUGAACCUUUACUGCAGCUUGAUAUUGGUCGUUGGCUCGGCGCGUAGAGGAUAGGCAGGAGGCUUCGAAGCGGGGACGCCAGUUCCCGUGGAGCCGGCCUUGGAAUAC
rnacentral:rRNA from 1 species